rnacentral:rRNA from 1 species
CACGUAGGGGGCGAGCGUUAUCCGGAUUCAUUGGGCGUAAAGCGCGCGCAGGCUGCCGCCUAAGCGGGACCUCUAAUCCCGGGGCUCAACCCCGGGCCUGGUCCCGAACUGGGCGGCUCGGGUGCGGUAGGGGAGGUCGGAAUUCCCGGUGUAGCGGUGGAAUGCGCAGAUAUCGGGAGGAACACCGACGGCGAAGGCAGGCCUCUGGGCCGCCACCGACGCUGAGGCGCGAAAGUGUGGGGAGCAAACA